rnacentral:rRNA from 1 species
UACAGAGGGGGCUAGCGUUGUCCGGAAUCAUUGGGCGUAAAGAGCGUGUAGGCGGCCCGGUAAGUCCGCUGUAAAAGUCAAAGGCUCAACCUUUGAAUGUCAGUGGAUACUGCCGGGCUAGAGUCCGGAAGAGGCGAGUGGAACUCCUGGUGUAGCGGUGGAAUGCGCAGAUAUCAGGAAGAACACCAACGGCGAAGGCAGCUCGCUGGGACGGUACUGACGCUGAGACGCGAAAGCGUGGGGAGCGAACAGG